rnacentral:rRNA from 1 species
GACGAACGCUGGCGGCGUGCUUAACACAUGCAAGUCGAACGGAAAGGCCCUGCUUUUGUGGGGUGCUCGAGUGGCGAACGGGUGUGUAACACGUGAGUAACCUGCCCUUGACUUUGGGAUAACUUCAGGAAACUGGGGCUAAUACCGGAUAGGAGCUCCUGCUGCAUGGUGGGGGUUGGAAAGUUUCGGCGGUUGGGGAUGGACUCGCGGCUUAUCAGUUUGUUGGUGGGGUAGUGGCUUACCAAGGCUUUGAGGGGUAGCCGGCCUGAGAGGGUGACCGGCCACAUUGGGACUGAGAUACGGCCCAGACUCCUACGGGAGGCAGAAGUGGAGAAUAUUGCACACUGGGCGGAAGCCUGAUGCAGCAACGCCGCGUGCGGGAUGACGGCCUUCGGGUUGUAAACCGCUUUCGCCUGUGACGAAGCGUGAGUGACGGUAAUGGGUAAAGAAGCACCGGCUAACUACGUG